rnacentral:rRNA from 1 species
GGGGAAUAUUGGGCAAUGGGCGAAAGCCUGACCCAGCAACGCCGCGUGAUUGAAGAAGGCUUUCGGGUUGUAAAAAUCUGUCCUAUGGGACGAAAAAAAUGACGGUACCAUAGGAGGAAGCCCCGGCUAACUACGUGCCAGCAGCCGCGGUAAUACGUAGGGGGCGAGCGUUGUCCGGAAUUACUGGGCGUAAAGGGUGCGCAGGCGGCGCCUUAAGUCAUAUGUGAAAUAUCCAUGCUUAACGUGGAGGGUGCAUUUGAAACUGGGGUGCUUGAGUGCAGGAGAGGAAAGUGGAAUUCCUAGUGUAGCGGUGAAAUGCGUAGAUAUUAGGAGGAACACCAGUGGCGAAGGCGACUUUCUGGACUGUAACUGACGCUGAGGCACGAAAGCGUGGGGAGCAAAC